UAGGGAAUCUUCCGCAAUGGACGAAAGUCUGACGGAGCAACGCCGCGUGAGUGAUGCAGGUUUUCGGAUCGUAAAGCUCUGUUGUUAGGGAAGAACAAGUGCCGUUCAAAUAGGGCGGCACCUUGACGGUACCUAACCAGAAAGCCACGGCUAACUACGUGCCAGCAGCCGCGGUAAUACGUAGGUGGCAAGCGUUGUCCGGAAUUAUUGGGCGUAAAGGGCUCGCAGGCGGUUUCUUAAGUCUGAUGUGAAAGCCCCCGGCUCAACCGGGGAGGGUCAUUGGAAACUGGGGAACUUGAGUGCAGAAGAGGAGAGUGGAAUUCCACGUGUAGCGGUGAAAUGCGUAGAGAUGUGGAGGAACACCAGUGGCGAAGGCGACUCUCUGGUCUGUAACUGACGCUGAGGAGCGAAAGCGUGGGGAGCGAACA
rnacentral:rRNA from 1 species